UCUGGUGAUUUUAGCGGCUGGGAAACACCCGAUCCCAUCUCGAACUCGGCAGUUAAGCCAGCCAGCGCCGAUGAUACUCUUUAUUGGGGAAAGUAGGUCAUUGCCAGUU
rnacentral:rRNA from 1 species